CCUACGGGCGGCUGCAGUGAGGAAUAUUGGUCAAUGGACGAGAGGCUGAACCAGCCAAGUCGCGUGAAGGAUGAAUGCCCUAUGGGUUGUAAACUUCUUUUAUAAGGGAGUAAAGUGUUCCACGUGUGGGAUUUUGUAUGUACCAUAUGAAUAAGGAUCGGCUAACUCCGUGCCAGCAGCCGCGGUAAUACGGAGGAUCCGAGCGUUAUCCGGAUUUAUUGGGUUUAAAGGGAGCGUAGGUAGGUUGUUAAGUCAGUUGUGAAAUUUUGCGGCUCAACCGUAAUCCUGCAGUUGAAACUGGUAGUCUUGAGUACAGGAGAGGUGGGCGGAAUGCGUGGUGUAGCGGUGAAAUGCUUAGAUAUCACGAAGAACUCCGAUUGCGAAGGCAGCUUACUGGACUGCAACUGACACUGAGGCUCGAAAGCGUGGGUAUCAAACAGGAUUAGAUACCCUUGUAGUC
rnacentral:rRNA from 1 species